rnacentral:rRNA from 3 species
CGGUUAAGUUAGAAAGGGCGCACGGUGGAUGCCUUGGCACUAGGAGCCGAUGAAGGACGGGACGAACACCGAUAUGCUUCGGGGAGCUGUAAGCAAGCUUUGAUCCGGAGAUUUCCGAAUGGGGAAACCCACCACUCGUAAUGGAGUGGUAUCCAUAUCUGAAUACAUAGGAUAUGAGAAGGCAGACCCGGGGAACUGAAACAUCUAAGUACCCGGAGGAAGAGAAAGCAAAUGCGAUUCCCUGAGUAGCGGCGAGCGAAACGGGACCAGCCCAAACCAAGAGGCUUGCCUCUUGGGGUUGUAGGACACUCUGUACGGAGUUACAAAGGAACGAGGUAGAUGAAGAGGUCUGGAAAGGCCCGCCAUAGGAGGUAACAGCCCUGUAGUCAAAACUUCGUUCUCUCCUGAGUGGAUCCUGAGUACGGCGGAACACGUGAAAUUCCGUCGGAAUCCGGGAGGACCAUCUCCCAAGGCUAAAUACUCCCUAGUGACCGAUAGUGAACCAGUACCGUGAGGGAAAGGUGAAAAGCACCCCGGAAGGGGAGUGAAAGAGAUCCUGAAACCGUGUGCCUACAAGUAGUCAGAGCCCGUUAACGGGUGAUGGCGUGCCUUUUGUAGAAUGAACCGGCGAGUUACGAUCCCGUGCAAGGUUAAGCAGAAGAUGCGGAGCCGCAGCGAAAGCGAGUCUGAAUAGGGCGAAUUGAGUACGUGGUCGUAGACCCGAAACCAGGUGAUCUACCCAUGUCCAGGGUGAAGUUCAGGUAACACUGAAUGGAGGCCCGAACCCACGCACGUUGAAAAGUGCGGGGAUGAGGUGUGGGUAGGGGUGAAAUGCCAAUCGAACCUGGAGAUAGCUGGUUCUCUCCGAAAUAGCUUUAGGGCUAGCCUCAAGGUAAGAGUCUCGGAGGUAGAGCACUGAUUGGACUAGGGGCCCCUACCGGGUUACCGAAUUCAGUCAAACUCCGAAUGCCGAUGACUUAUCCUUGGGAGUCAGACUGCGAGUGAUAAGAUCCGUAGUCGAAAGGGAAACAGCCCAGACCGCCAGCUAAGGUCCCAAAGUAUACGUUAAGUGGAAAAGGAUGUGGAGUUGCUUAGACAACCAGGAUGUUGGCUUAGAAGCAGCCACCAUUUAAAGAGUGCGUAAUAGCUCACUGGUCGAGUGACUCUGCGCCGAAAAUGUACCGGGGCUAAACGUAUCACCGAAGCUGCGGACUGUUCUUCGAACAGUGGUAGGAGAGCGUUCUAAGGGCUGUGAAGCAAGACCGGAAGGACUUGUGGAGCGCUUAGAAGUGAGAAUGCCGGUAUGAGUAGCGAAAGAGGGGUGAGAAUCCCCUCCACCGAAUGCCUAAGGUUUCCUGAGGAAGGCUCGUCCGCUCAGGGUUAGUCGGGACCUAAGCCGAGGCCGAAAGGCGUAGGCGAUGGAUAACAGGUUGAUAUUCCUGUACCACCUCCUCACCAUUUGAGCAAUGGGGGGACGCAGGAGGAUAGGGUAAGCGCGGUAUUGGAUAUCCGCGUCCAAGCAGUUAGGCUGGGAAAUAGGCAAAUCCGUUUCCAGUGAAGGCUGAGCUGUGAUGGCGAGCGAAUUAUAGUAGCGAAGUUCCUGAUUCCACACUGCCAAGAAAAGCCUCUAGCGAGGUGAGAGGUGCCCGUACCGCAAACCGACACAGGUAGGCGAGGAGAGAAUCCUAAGGUGAUCGAGAGAACUCUCGUUAAGGAACUCGGCAAAAUGACCCCGUAACUUCGGGAGAAGGGGUGCUCUGUUAGGGUGCAAGCCCGAGAGAGCCGCAGUGAAUAGGCCCAGGCGACUGUUUAGCAAAAACACAGGUCUCUGCGAAGCCGUAAGGCGAAGUAUAGGGGCUGACGCCUGCCCGGUGCUGGAAGGUUAAGAGGAGCGCUUAGCGUAAGCGAAGGUGCGAAUUGAAGCCCCAGUAAACGGCGGCCGUAACUAUAACGGUCCUAAGGUAGCGAAAUUCCUUGUCGGGUAAGUUCCGACCCGCACGAAAGGCGCAACGAUCUGGGCACUGUCUCAACGAGAGACUCGGUGAAAUUAUAGUACCUGUGAAGAUGCAGGUUACCCGCGACAGGACGGAAAGACCCCGUGGAGCUUUACUGCAGCCUGAUAUUGAAUGUUGGUACAGCUUGUACAGGAUAGGUAGGAGCCUUGGAAACCGGAGCGCCAGCUUCGGUGGAGGCAUCGGUGGGAUACUACCCUGGCUGUAUUGACCUUCUAACCCGCCGCCCUUAUCGGGCGGGGAGACAGUGUCAGGUGGGCAGUUUGACUGGGGCGGUCGCCUCCUAAAAGGUAACGGAGGCGCCCAAAGGUUCCCUCAGAAUGGUUGGAAAUCAUUCGCAGAGUGUAAAGGCACAAGGGAGCUUGACUGCGAGACCUACAAGUCGAGCAGGGACGAAAGUCGGGCUUAGUGAUCCGGUGGUUCCGCAUGGAAGGGCCAUCGCUCAACGGAUAAAAGCUACCCCGGGGAUAACAGGCUUAUCUCCCCCAAGAGUCCACAUCGACGGGGAGGUUUGGCACCUCGAUGUCGGCUCAUCGCAUCCUGGGGCUGUAGUCGGUCCCAAGGGUUGGGCUGUUCGCCCAUUAAAGCGGUACGCGAGCUGGGUUCAGAACGUCGUGAGACAGUUCGGUCCCUAUCCGUCGCGGGCGCAGGAAAUUUGAGAGGAGCUGUCCUUAGUACGAGAGGACCGGGAUGGACGCACCGCUGGUGUACCAGUUGUUCUGCCAAGGGCAUCGCUGGGUAGCUAUGUGCGGACGGGAUAAGUGCUGAAAGCAUCUAAGCAUGAAGCCCCCCUCAAGAUGAGAUUUCCCAUUCCGCAAGGAAGUAAGAUCCCUGAAAGAUGAUCAGGUUGAUAGGUCUGAGGUGGAAGUGUGGCGACACAUGGAGCUGACAGAUACUAAUCGAUCGAGGACUUAACCAAUUU